rnacentral:rRNA from 1 species
CGGAGGAUGCGAGCGUUAUCCGGAUUUAUUGGGUUUAAAGGGAGCGCAGACGGGUCGUUAAGUCAGCUGUGAAAGUUUGGGGCUCAACCUUAAAAUUGCAGUUGAUACUGGCGUCCUUGAGUGCGGUUGAGGUGUGCGGAAUUCGUGGUGUAGCGGUGAAAUGCUUAGAUAUCACGAAGAACUCCGAUUGCGAAGGCAGCACACUAAGCCGUAACUGACGUUCAUGCUCGAAAGUGUGGGGUAUCAAACAGGAUU